GAUGAACGCUAGCGGCAGGCCUAAUACAUGCAAGUCGGACGGGAUUCAGGAGCUUGCUUCUGAUGAGAGUGGCGCACGGGUGCGUAACACGUAUGUAACCUACCUUUAUCAGGGGGAUAGCCUCUCGAAAGAGAGAUUAAGCCCGCAUAAAAUCACAGCACAGCAUUUUGUAAUAAUCAAAUAUUUAUAGGAUAAAGAUGGGCAUGCGGAACAUUAGCUAGAUGGCGGGGUAACGGCCCACCAUGGCGACGAUGUUUAGGGGAUCUGAGAGGAUGGCCCCCCACACUGGGACUGAGACACGGACCAGACUCCUACGGGAGGAAGCAGUAAGGAAUAUUGGUCAAUGGGCGGAAGCCUGAACCAGCCAUGCCGCGUGCAGGAAGACGGCCCUACGGGUUGUAAACUGCUUUUAUACGGGAAUAAACCCAGAUACGUGUAUCUGGCUGAAGGUACUGUAAGAAUAAGGAUCGGCUAACUCCGUG
rnacentral:rRNA from 1 species